rfam:Schistosoma rodhaini strain Burundi genome assembly, scaffold: SROB_scaffold0001738
AUCCAGCUGAUGAGUCCCAGUUAGGGUUCAACGCGCGUCCUGGAU